AAUAGAUACCCGGGUAGUCCACGCCGUAAACGAUGGAUGCUAGCUGUGGGGGGUAUCGACCCCUUCCGUAGCGAAGUUAGCGCGUUAAGCAUCCCGCCUGUGGAGUACGGCCGCAAGGCUAAAACAUAAAGGAAUUGACGGGGACCCGCACAAGCGGUGGAGCAUGUUCUUUAAUUCGAUGGUAAACGAUGAACCUUACCAGGGUUUGACAUCCCGAGAAGUUCUGCGAAAGCAGAGUGUGCCGUAAGGAACUCGGUGCAGGUGCUGCAUGGCCGUCGUCAGCUCGUGUCGUGAGAUGUUUGGUUAAGUCCAUCAACGAGCGCAACCCUUAUGAAUAGUUGGAUUUUUCUAUUCAGACUGCCCCGGUAACGGGGAGGAAGGGGGGGAUGAUGUCAGGUCAGUAUUGCCCUUACACCCUGGGCUAGAAACGUGCUACAAUGGCCGGUACAACGGGCAGCCAAGGCGUGAGCCGGAGCUAAUCCCAUCAAAGCCGGUCCCAGUUCAGAUUGCAGGCUGAAACUCGCCUGCAUGAAGUCGG
rnacentral:rRNA from 1 species